AGGUUCCCUCCCCACUCAGACCCUCUCUGCCAAUAACAGCUAGGUUCCCUCCCCACUCAGACCCUCUCUGCCAAUAACAGCUAGGUUCCCUCCCCACUCAGACCCUCUCUGCCAAUAACAGCUAGGUUCCCCUCCUCCACUCAGACCCUCUGUGCCAAUAACAGCUAGGUUCCCCUCCUCCACUCAGACCACUCCUAGUCCUUGCAAAAUUCUUGCUUGAGCAAUUGCUCUUUGCAAAGAAGAUUUUAGAUUUUUUUUUUAACCAUUUUUAAUUCAAAACCAAUCAGUUAGUUACUCCAUUGUUACCCUGAACUGAUUUUGACAUUGCCUUACAUCUAUGUUAAUUUUUGUAAAAAAAAUGACUGGUAAAUGUAACAUAUUGACAUACCUUUCAAUCCCACAAUGCCCAUCACUAUUGUACUUAUUCAUGGCAGGAUAAAGGCUGCCGUGAGUUCCCAGUUUUAAUUCUGACAAACCUUGUAUAGCAAAAGUUAGCAUCGUACACAGUUCGAUUAUUUUCUAAAAGAAAAUCAUUCAUUCAAAUGUUACCCCUCUUUGUAUAUUUUGGAUACGUCUUUUUAAAAUAUAUUUUAUUUGAGUAAGACAGUUUUUUAAUUGUAUUAUUGCACGGGAUCUCAUGUUAUUAGUUGUCUCAAUUCAGGAGGGGAAACUACGAUAGGCAGUUUGGGUAUGCUGUACUUGGAUGAUCAGUUUGUCAGUUUGGGUAUGCCGUACGUGGAUGAUCAGUUUGGGUAUGCUGUACGUGGAUGAUCAGUUUGGGUAUGCCGUACGUGGAUGAUCAGUUUGGGUAUGCUGUACGUGAAUGAUCAGUUUGGGUAUGCCGUACGUGGAUGAUCCGUUUGGGUAUGCCGUACGUGGAUGAUCCGUUUGGGUAUGCCGCACGUGGUUGAUCCGUUUGGGUAUGCCGUACGUGGAUGAUCAGUUUGGGUAUGCCGUACGUGGAUGAUCAGUUUGGGUAUGCCGUACGUGGAUGAUCCGUUUGGGUAUGCCGUACGUGGAUGAUCAGUUUGGGUAUGCCGUACGUGGGUGAUCAGUUUGGGUAUGCCGUACGUGGAUGAUCCGUUUGGGUAUGCCGCACGUGGAUGAUCCGUUUGGGUAUGCCGCACGUGGAUGAUCCGUUUGGGUAUGCCGUACGUGGAUGAUCAGUUUGGGUAUGCCGUACGUGGAUGAUCAGUUUGGGUAUGCCGUACGUGGAUGAUCAGUUUGGGUAUGCCGUACGUGGAUGAUCAGUUUGGGUAUGCCGUACGUGGAUGAUCCGUUUGGGCAUGCCGUACGUGGAUGAUCCGUUUGUGUAUGCCGUACGUGGAUGAUCCGUUUGGGUAUGCCGCACGUGGGUGAUCAGUUUGGGUAUGCCGUACGUGGAUGAUCCGUUUGGGUAUGCCGCACGUGGAUGAUCCGUUUGGGUAUGCCGCACGUGGAUGAUCCGUUUGGGUAUGCCGUACGUGGGUGAUCCGUUUGGGUAUGCCGCACGUGGAUGAUCCGUUUGGGUAUGCCGCACGUGGAUGAUCCGUUUGGGUAUGCCGUACGUGGGUGAUCCGUUUGGGUAUGCCGCACGUGGGUGAUCAGUUUGGGUAUGCCGUACGUGGAUGAUCCGUUUGGGUAUGCCGUACGUGGAUGAUCGUACCUAAAGCUACUCAGAUAUAUGCUCUUCUCCUCUGCUGAAGCAAAGCAGAGGUCAAGCCUCAAAUGACCUACACCAUUUUCUUCAUUAUGCAUUUUAUACAAAGCUAUGUAGAAUUUUAUGGGUUGCCAGAUUGGAGAAAAAGUACACAUUUUUUUUGUUUGUUUUUGGUUUUUGGUGAAGGUGUUUGAUUGGGGAAUGGAGAAUUUAUAAUGUACACAAACACACACUUUUGUUGUACUCAUGUUAUAGCCAACUCUUGACUUUUUGUAUGAAUUAUUUUUUAUAAAAUGUUUGUAUCUAGUUGUCAUGUAUUCAUUAUGUUUAACUGGUUAAAUGUUUGUAGUUUGUAUGUUUCAGUAAUGAUUAACACGGUUAAAUAGUCGUGCUUCAUUUAGCUUUUGGUAUAUUUGGCAUUUUAUACAGUCUGUAUUUCACUGAAGAAAGCAAUGCAAUAAAUGGUGAGAAAUGC